UGCUGGAGGUAUCAGAAGUGCGAAUGCUGACAUAAGUAACGAUAAAGCGGGUGAAAAGCCCGCUCGCCGGAAGACCAAGGGUUCCUGUCCAACGUUAAUCGGGGCAGGGUGAGUCGACCCCUAAGGCGAGGCCGAAAGGCGUAGUCGAUGGGAAACAGGUUAAUAUUCCUGUACUUGGUGUUACUGCGAAGGGGGGACGGAGAAGGCUAUGUCAGCCGGGCGACGGUUGUCCCGGUUUAAGCAUGUAGGCGGAGGUUCCAGGUAAAUCCGGUACCUUGUUAACGCUGAGGUGUGAUGACGAGGCACUACGGUGCUGAAGUGAUAAAUGCCCUGCUUCCAGGAAAAGCCUCUAAGCAUCAGGUAACACGAAAUCGUACCCCAAACCGACACAGGUGGUCAGGUAGAGAAUACCAAGGCGCUUGAGAGAACUCGGGUGAAGGAACUAGGCAAAAUGGUGCCGUAACUUCGGGAGAAGGCACGCUGAUGUGUAGGUGAAGCCCCUGCGGGCGGAGCUGAAAUCAGUCGAAGAUACCAGCUGGCUGCAACUGUUUAUUAAAAACACAGCACUGUGCAAACACGAAAGUGGACGUAUACGGUGUGACGCCUGCCCGGUGCCGGAAGGUUAAUUGAUGGGGUUAGCUGUAAGGCGAAGCUCUUGAUCGAAGCCCCGGUAAACGGCGGCCGUAACUAUAACGGUCCUAAGGUAGCGAAAUUCCUUGUCGGGUAAGUUCCGACCUGCACGAAUGGCGUAAUGAUGGCCAGGCUGUCUCCACCCGAGACUCAGUGAAAUUGAACUCGCUGUGAAGAUGCAGUGUACCCGCGGCAAGACGGAAAGACCCCGUGAACCUUUACUAUAGCUUGACACUGAACACUGGUCCUUGAUGUGUAGGAUAGGUGGGAGGCUUUGAAGCGUGGACGCCAGUCUGCGUGGAGCCAACCUUGAAAUACCACCCUUUAAUGGCUGGUGUUCUAACGUAGACCCGUAAUCCGGGUUGCGGACAGUGUCUGGUGGGUAGUUUGACUGGGGCGGUCUCCUCCCAAAGAGUAACGGAGGAGCACGAAGGUUGGCUAAUCCUGGUCGGACAUCAGGAGGUUAGUGCAAUGGCAUAAGCCAGCUUGACUGCGAGCGUGACGGCGCGAGCAGGUGCGAAAGCAGGUCAUAGUGAUCCGGUGGUUCUGAAUGGAAGGGCCAUCGCUCAACGGAUAAAAGGUACUCCGGGGAUAACAGGCUGAUACCGCCCAAGAGUUCAUAUCGACGGCGGUGUUUGGCACCUCGAUGUCGGCUCAUCACAUCCUGGGGCUGAAGUAGGUCCCAAGGGUAUGGCUGUUCGCCAUUUAAAGUGGUACGCGAGCUGGGUUUAGAACGUCGUGAGACAGUUCGGUCCCUAUCUGCCGUGGGCGCUGGAGAAUUGAGGGGGGCUGCUCCUAGUACGAGAGGACCGGAGUGGACGCAUCACUGGUGUUCGGGUUGUCAUGCCAAUGGCACUGCCCGGUAGCUAAAUGCGGAAGAGAUAAGUGCUGAAAGCAUCUAAGCACGAAACUUGCCCCGAGAUGAGUUCUCCCUGAGACUUUAAGUCUCCUGAAGGAACGUUAAAGACGAUGACGUUGAUAGGUCGGGUGUGUAAGCGCAGCGAUGCGUUGAGCUAACCGAUACUAAUGAACCGUGAGGCUUAACCUU
rnacentral:rRNA from 1 species